rnacentral:misc_RNA from 1 species
UAUGAAGAACGCAGCGAAAUGCGAUAAGUAAUGUGAAUUGCAGAAUUCAGUGAAUCAUCGAAUCUUUGAACGCACAUUGCGCCCGCCAGUAUUCUGGCGGGCAUGCCUGUUCGAGCGUCAUUUCAACCAUCAAGCCCCAGGCUUGUGUUGGGGACCUGCGGCUGCCGCAGGCCCUGAAAACCAGUGGCGGGCUCGCUGUCACACCGGGCGUAGUAGAUUUUAUCUCGCUCAGGGCGUGCUGCGGGUUCCGGCCGUUAAAAAGCCUUUUUUACCCAAGGUUGACCUCGGAUCAGGUAGGAAUACCCGCUGAACUUAAGCAUAUCAAUAAGCGGAGGA